rnacentral:ncRNA from 1 species
GAGCACCUUGGCGAUGUAAGGGAUCAAGGGGAGGUUCAAGACGAGCAACACCAGAUUUCCGAUAUACAUCGAGAUGAUAACCGCCCAGAAAAUCUGCGGCUCAUCAAUCAUCAGGCGCGGGCC